GAUGAACGCUGGCGGCGUGCCUAAUACAUGCAAGUCGAGCGAACAGACGAGGAGCUUGCUCCUCUGACGUUAGCGGCGGACGGGUGAGUAACACGUGGAUAACCUACCUAUAAGACUGGGAUAACUUCGGGAAACCGGAGCUAAUACCGGAUAAUCUAUUGAACCGCAUGGUUCAAUAGUGAAAGACGGUUUUGCUGUCACUUAUAGAUGGAUCCCCGCCGCAUUAGCUAGUUGUUAAGGUAACGGCUUACCAAGGCGAGGAUGCGUAGCCGACCUGAGAGAGUGAUCGGCCACACUGGAACUGAGACACGGUCCUGACUCCUACGGGAGGCAGCAGUAGGGAAUCUUCCGCAAUGGGCGAAAGCCUGACGGAGCAACGCCGCGUGAGUGAUGAAGGUCUUCGGAUCGUAAAACUCUGUUAUUAGGGAAGAACAAAUGUGUAAGUAACUAUGCACGUCUUGACGGUACCUAAUCAGAAAGCCACGGCUAACUACGUG
rnacentral:rRNA from 1 species